rnacentral:rRNA from 1 species
UACGGGAGGCAGCAGUGGGGAAUAUUGCACAAUGGGCGCAAGCCUGAUGCAGCCAUGCCGCGUGUAUGAAAAAGGCCUUCGGGUUGUAAAGUACUUUCAGUCGUGAGGAAGGUGUUAAGGUUAAUAACCUUAGCAAUUGACGUUAGCGACAGAAGAAGCACCGGCUAACUCCGUGCCAGCAGCCGCGGUAAUACGGAGGGUGCGAGCGUUAAUCGGAAUUACUGGGCGUAAAGGGCACGCAGGCGGUUAAUUAAGUUGGAUGUGAAAUCCCCGGGCUUAACCUGGGAAUGGCAUUCAAGACUGGUUAGCUAGAGUCUUGUAGAGGGGGUAGAAUUCCAUGUGUAGCGGUGAAAUGCGUAGAGAUGUGGAGGAAUACCGGUGGCGAAGGCGGCCCCUGGACAAAGACUGACGCUCAUGUGCGAAAGCGUGGGGAGCAACGAGGAUUAGAUACC